ensembl:lncRNA
CAGCUGAGAGGUCAAUAGAAUAUGAGGAAGUUAAUAGGGACUGCUAGACAUUGCUGGUGCAUGUACUUAAGACGCUGGUUUUGUUUAUUACAAUAUGUAAGUAAAGUUUUAUUUCUUGCCAUGACUGUAUGACUUUUUGUGGGGUUUUGAGAUAGGAUACAUAAACUGUUGAUACUUAAGACCGUUACCUGGGUUCUGAGAACUGAAAUUGAAUUUGAGAUAAUUUAAUUAAUAAAGAUGUCUGUAAGCGAUGUGUGUUUUGGGGUGUCGAAGUAAGAUGUUUUAGGAUUUUUAGAUGGGUUUUGUUUCAGUUUGAGAUAAUAUAUACAGUUACAUUUUCUGUGUGUGUGUUGUUGAGUGACAACAUGCGCACUUUAAAUUGGGCGCUGUCCCUUCCUCUUUUUAGUUUCAAAACACAAAGGCUGAGUAAGGGAAAAGGGGAAGUCUGAGAGAGAGAAAGGCAGUGCGUGUGAGACGAUUUAUGGCGUCUGAAAGAGGUUAGAGCAUUUAAAAGGUGUGUAUGGAAUAAAGGAGUGUGAAAUAUAUUUCUUCUGUGAUGAAAAGUAGGAUGUGCUAAAGUUUGAAAGUGUUUUAAUUCAAGAAAACAAAAAAAAACAAAGGAGUUAGAUUAGUUUGAGGAACAGGAAAUAUUGCUCUAUGUACCGGGGCUGCAGCGACAGGAAAUAGUGAACAGGAACUGUGCAUGCCCAUAUAUGGGAACUGAGUGUGUACAGAAAGAACACAGAGAGAUAGAUGAGUUAACUCUAGGCACAUGAAGCAAAUGAAGCCUUUAAGAAAAAUGCAUAUAUUACUAAUUAUAUGGUUUAGUGUGUCAAUACAGGUGGGCGUCUUUCAACUUUGCAACCUUGAGUUCAGCAGCAGAAAAGUAGAUUAAAAGAAUUGGGAGAAAAUAAGCCAGUCUUUGGCUCGAAAUUGUGCAGCUUGAGCUCUUACUUUGUCCUUCACCCCGAGAAGACACGUAAAGGACAGUCAAUCGCCUGAUGAAGACCGAUAGAACAUCGUGGACUUGAAUACAGCAGGCAAACGACAGUGCCACUGAUCCAUUAACACUGGUGACGACUGACGACCAGCAGCAGCAUGUAAGAAUACUGCAACAUGUACUGUGAAAAUACAGGCUGGGCAGUUGAACAGUGGGAUAAAGAAUUGUGGAAGAGCACUGGACAUUGAGUGAUAUUUUGCCAUGCUGGGACUUAAUCCGAAAGAAAGACUGUAAAGAAACAGAGAAGAAGACAGCAGCUGAGUUGAGACUGUGUUUGCUGGAGCUUUGAAGCCCGAAUAGGACAUUGUGCAGAGAGGACCAGUGAGAGAUGAAGCUGGACGAGUUUGACUGCGAGAAUAUAGGAUAUAAUUGGAUUGAAAAUUGAAGCCUGAACUCAUGAAUUGUUUAGGGAUGUCCACUACAGCAUAACAAAGAGGUAAACAUUAGAAAAGCUACAUUCACCCUGGAGAGAAACUAGUGAGGGAGACCACCAGGACCAAGCUGGGUUUCCUGGGUCCAGAGGUUUGGAGAAACUUCUUCUCUUUCUUCAUCACAGCUGUCCUGUGCCAGAAGUUCUGUUGACCCACUGAGAGAGGCAUCAUUUAAGGAACACCAGGAAGACUGAACCUCAUUGCAUUGAUCAAGCAGGACUCAUGAUCUUGACCAGCAGCUCCCUCACAGGGAAAUCUUCAGCACUCCUCCGUAGGCCCGCCCCAGGAGAUGGAUACACCCAGCAUUUCAUGAACACUGUGAUGGAGACCUAUGCUUUGUGUAAUGUUAUAAAUACGCAG